ACCAAGUAAAACAAAACAGAAUGACCCGGAAGGGAUUGCUUGUAGUACCUUUUGACUUCCGUUUUUAAUCGUAUGGGUCCGUCUGGAAAGGGGCCCUCGGCUUGCCCCUUUUAGCCUGGACCAUGGAACCUUGUCAUGGAAUUAUGAAAGCUUUCCCCAAAGUUAAAAGAGCCAGAGUUUCUCAGGGAAAGGAUUCUCCUCUUUUAAAGAAGAAAGCUGAUCAAUUUGAUGUGACAGGAAAUACAUUUAGAAGCACCUCAGUCUACAUCCUGCCUGCUGGAAUCGGAAAUGCGAGAUGUGAAAUCUUCCAAAAUCAAAUUCAACAGAAUGGAGGCCGGACAGAGAGGUCGUUGUGUACAGGUGUCACUCAUGUUGUUGUUGAUGACAACAUGGAGCAAGACCGAGCUCUGCGCCUCCUUAAGGUGGAUGCAAUGCCCCCUGGCGUCCAUCUAGUGAAAUGCAGUUGGCUAAGCGGCUCUAUUAGUGAGAAGCAACUCUUGGAGGAAACAAGCUACAGCAUCAUUUUAUCAAAAAGCGAUCUUGAGACUCCACAAGAAAAUAACCAUUUGUUGGACGACAAACCCACAGCUGAAAUUACUGUAAAGCCAGAGUGUGAUCAAAGCAAGGAAGAAGAAAAAAUAGACACGGGUGGAGCAGACAAAAAAGAAGUGGUGCGAGGAGAAGACGACAGUGUCUCUCAGAUACACCUGGAAGCUCUAAUCACUGGCCAGCACCCAAAAAAUGAGACUCCUGGGCUCAGCCUUGACCCUGGUCCUGACACUGCCACACAUACGGCAGUCUCGGGGAAGUGGGUCUGUGCCCAGUCUUCUCAAUCCAAAAGUAAUAACUUCAACAAACACCUCACUGACAAACUCGAGCUGCUGGCCAAGGCCUAUACACACCAGGGGGACAAGUGGAGGGCACUGGGCUACUCCAAGGCUGUCAAUGCACUGAAGAGCUAUCACAAGACCGUUACAUCCUAUCAGGAGGCGUGUCUUAUACCAGGGAUUGGCAAGCGCAUGGCGGACAAAAUAGAUGAAAUUAUGGAAAGCGGUCAUCUGCGCAAAUUAGAUCACAUUGGGGAGGCUGUGCCAGUAUUGGAGCUUUUCACAAACAUCUGGGGUGCAGGAGCCAAGACAUCACAACUGUGGUACCAACAGGGAUUCCGUACUUUGGAGGACAUUCGCACCAAAGCCCACUUAAGCCAUUCUCAGAAAAUAGGACUCAAGCACUAUGACGACUUUCUGGACAGAAUGCCCAGGGACGAAGCUGCAGCCAUUGAGAAAGUGGUAAGGGAUGCGGCCCUGGGUAUAGAUUCCGGCCUUGUGGCAAUGGCAUGUGGCUCCUACCGCCGAGGAAAGACCACAUGUGGAGAUGUUGAUGUUCUAAUAUCACACCCUGAUGGGAAGUCCCACAGGGGUAUUUUUAACAAAGUGCUUCAGGUCCUCCAUGACAGUGGCUUUUUGACUGAUGACCUGGUGAGCCAUGAGGAAAAUGGAGAUCAGAAAAAAUACAUGGGUGUGUGUCGUCUGCCAGGAACAGACCGCCGCCAUCCAUACAUUUUGGUUGGCUGCGGUUCCUCCCGGUGAGUCAUCUUGAGGAGCAGGUCUGUCGGCAAUCGUGGAUGAUGCCCGAAAAGCAAGAAGAAAGGGUUCGCAACAUUUGCAGCACUGUGCGGUUAAAGCGCUAGGCCGGAUUACCCUGAGGGUGGUAUGGGGUCCACCGGGAAUGUCCCACUCCGCUCAGUUGCCUUAGUGUUCGGAAUAAAUAAUUUUCAAAUUUGCGCCCUUGGUCAUGAUGCAGUUUCAAGGGAUAGCCAAAUCUAGGGAUAUAAUCAUUAAAGGUUUUCUCCCCCGCAGUUUCCUCUGACUUACUACAGGUCGCAUAACAUUGUGCAAAUCUGGCAAAUUGAUCAAUUACCACUAGGAUAUAUUGGUAGCCUCCUCUACUCUGUUCUUAAUGCAAAUAGUCAAUUGAGACAAGCUCCAGUGGAGAGUUGGUUGUGAUGCUACUCAUUGGGGUUCGUACGUGUCACAGGUUGUGUUUUUUUUAUGCACUGGCAUUGUCUGGUAACCUAUGUCUCAAUCUCCCGCCUCAUGUAAGGCCAAUAAAACCUCUGCCUUGCUAAACUAAGUACUCUUUCAGUGCCUACGUGACCCAUGUCGUCGUAUAAGAGAACCAAUGCUUUGAGGCUAGCAGGUAAAACUAGUUGACGUCGCUCUGCGACUCUACGAUAGAGGAUUCCAUCUUCGAUGUGCAGCCUUGUCCACUCAUGCAUUCCUUUUCUGCCUAACCCUUGCUGACUCUGCUUCAUGCUGUCAGUCAGUGUUGCAUUUGACUCUUUCAAUCGUAGAACAUUUCCAAUCACUGGGUCCCUUUGCUGGGCAUGUUGGAGUUCAGUGAGACUAAAUGGUGUCAAUGUUUCUUUGGUCUUGGGUUCAAGUUGGUCACCCUGGGCCAGAGCCAAAGCAGCUAUCCAGGCUACAUCUCCCCUUUCGCCUGCUCUGCACUCUCCCCAUGUUGUGGUGACAACUUCUCUGGUCAAUUCCUGUGUACACUCACUGACAUAUUUGUUGAUAUAUAGGGGGCAACGUGAGAGUGAAUUAGCGUCAACAUUUAUUUUGCCUGGCCUGUACCGUAUAUCAAAUCUAAAAUCUGACAGUUCA